rnacentral:rRNA from 2 species
UACGAAGGGUCCUAGCGUUGUUCGGAAUUACUGGGCGUAAAGGGCGCGUAGGCGGCUUACUAAGUCAGGUGUGAAAUCCCCGGGCUCAACCUGGGAACUGCAUUUGAUACUGGUAGGCUAGAGAUCGGAAGAGGUGAGUGGAAUUCCUAGUGUAGAGGUGAAAUUCGUAGAUAUUAGGAAGAACACCAGAGGCGAAGGCGGCUCACUGGUCCGAUACUGACGCUAAGGCGCGAAAGCGUGGGGAGCAAACAGG